rnacentral:rRNA from 1 species
UACGGAGGGUGCAAGCGUUAUCCGGAUUCACUGGGUUUAAAGGGUGCGUAGGAGGGCAGGUAAGUCAGUGGUGAAAUCUCCGAGCUUAACUCGGAACUGCCGUUGAUACUAUCUGUCUUGAAUACCGUGGAGGUGAGCGGAAUAUGUCAUGUAGCGGUGAAAUGCUUAGAUAUGACAUAGAACACCAAUUGCGAAGGCAGCUCACUACACGAGCAUUGACUCUGAGGCACGAAAGCGUGGGAUCAAACAGG